AAGGGAGACCUAAUUCCGGUAGGAGACGAAAAAAAAGUAGUCCCAACCAAGAAUCAAUCCCAAAAGGUCGGAACGAGGUAUGAGGCUUUCAAACUAGGUUCUGGGUUCAUAAAAGACCUGAAUCAGGAACAAGGGCUAUUAGCUCAGGUGGUUAGAGCGCACCCCUGAUAAGGGUGAGGUCCCUGGUUCGAGUCCAGGAUGGCCCACCUGCACAGGUGGCAAAAACAAGAGAAGCUCCGAAUCAGCACCUUAUCUUAUAUACAUAUAUAAGAGAGAAUGCUGGCUCUGAGUACAGAGUCCAGAGGAACCUUGAAAACUGCAUAGAGCUAGGUGAAAAAGCCAAAAGAGAAGACCGCAA
rnacentral:tRNA from 1 species